rnacentral:tRNA from 1 species
UCCUCGGUAGCUCAACGGUAGAGCAUCCGGCUGUUAACCGGAGGGUUGCUGGUUCGAAUCCAGCCCGGGGAGCCA